rnacentral:rRNA from 1 species
GAACGAACGCUGGCGGCGCGCCUAACACAUGCAAGUCGAACGAGAAGGCGUAGCAAUACGCUUGUACAGUGGCGAACGGGUGAGGAACACGUGGGUAACCUACCCUCGAGUGGGGAAUAACCAACCGAAAGGUUGGCUAAUGCCGCGUAAGCUUCCAUCUCUUCGGAGGUGGAAGGAAAGCUGUACCGUGGGUACAGCGCUCAAGGAUGGGCUCACGUCCUAUCAGCUUGUUGGUAGGGAACGGCCUACCAAGGCAACGACGGGUAGCUGGUCUGAGAGGACGAUCAGCCACACUGGCACUGCGACACGGGCCAGACUCCUACGGGAGGCAGCAGUGAGGAAUAUUGCGCAAUGGGCGAAAGCCUGACGCAGCGACGCCGCGUGGGGGAUGAAGGUCUU